GGCAUGCUGGGACCUAUCUCACCUAACUGCGGGCAAGACGGGGUCCACCCUGAAUUGAUCGCCAGCCAAUUGCAGGGCACACAUAAACAACCAUUUCAUUUGCCUACAGACUGCCAAGCUGAUGGUGCGGAGAUGCAACGAAGCAUUCUCAUGGAAGUUCAUCCCACCGUCUGCCUCACCCCUAACACUACUUCCACUUCUGUGGUGAAAUGUGAGCCGAUAAUAAGAUCCCAUCCUUGUCGACGUCAAAGCCUGAUAGCUUGCUCAGUAGCAAGUUGGCACUUUCAGAUUGUAUCACUAGUCGUG